UACGUAGGGGGCAAGCGUUGUCCGGAAUCAUUGGGCGUAAAGAGCGUGUAGGCGGCCCGGUAAGUCCGCUGUGAAAGUCCAGGGCUCAACCCUGGGAUGCCGGUGGAUACUGUCGGGCUCGAGUCCGGAAGAGGAGUGUGGAAUUCCUGGUGUAGCGGCGAAAUGCGUAGAUAUCGUAAUGAAGACCAGUGGCGAAGGCGGGUCUCUGGACAGUUCCUGACGCUGAGGCACGAAGGUCAGGGGAGCAAACGGG
rnacentral:rRNA from 1 species